UUACUGUGUCCCACUCUGCUCCCUCACCAUACCCCACUUACAGUGGUUGUUCUUGGUCAGUGAGGCCCCAGGGUUCAGAGGUACAUCUGUGUGAGUUCACCUCCCACUCAGGGAAGAAGACACCUGCCUUGCUCCACCAGCUGAGCACUUGCUCUGGCUGGCCACCCUGCCAGCUGAGCCUCCCACAGUCAACCUGCUUGCCACUUUUGCCGAUCGCUCCUACUGGCUACCCAUCAGUCACCUCCUGCUGCCACCUGCCUCUCUGCUGUGAUCUCUGCAGGGACCUGAGUGAGAAUUGCCAAUACUACAAACUCCAUGGAUCGUACAACAGCAUAGGAAUGACAUUUCCAAUUUACAUCAGUGCAGUGAAGAUCAGAAUCUGGUCCAGUGGGUCCAAAAGGAAUAAAAAUGGCUUCCCCACAAAUAUACCAGCUGACCUUCACAAAGAUACAAAUUCCAGUUUACAUCGCUUCAGAUGCAAGUGAGUGAGUCAGCACCCUCAGGGAAUAAUGAGGAAUUCAUUAAUACCACACAAAUGAAUGAUGUAGAGGAAGCAAUGUGUGUUUCUCUUCCCACAAAGAGAGAAAGAAAUAGAAGACAAGAGCACCAAGCAGAAACCCAAGAAUUUUGGGAAGUAAUCUGACAUGAUGGAUGGGACUUGAAUCCUUACUCUCUUGGGCUGUGUGAUCUCAUUAGCUUUCACAAACUAAGACAUGUCUGGCCUGGUCAGUACUUGGAGACCUCUAAGCAAAGCAGGGAUGCUACAUGGAAUGGGACUGAUGAUUCCUCAGGUGGCUAUCUUCACGAACAAUCAGAACCACUGAGAGCACUGUGUUGUUGAAGGUGAGGUCUUUCAGAUCAAUGUAAAAAUCAAGAUUACUCCAUUAUAGAAAUUAGAAAUGGAAAAGACAUAGUAGAGUAUUUAAUCCAUCCCCCUGUUGGUGCAGAUUAUUCCCUCUGGUCCUGUCAGUUUAGUCGUUUGUUUGUUUUUUACUAUCCCAAGUGAUGAAGACAAAAGAUUCUUCUGCACCCAUGUAGUCAUUAAAGAUCCCAUCACAUUUUCCACAAAGAUAAGGGUGUUAGACUUCCAAUUAUAGUAUGACUAUUUAAAUUCCUCCUGAAAUCACUUCAUCCUCUUCACUUUCUGUCCCAUGCUGUUGGGUAGUGCUGCUGUGAAUUGUUAAAAGGUUGUCCUGUUCCACCAGAAGAGAGGUGGCUGCAUUUAGAAUACAUAUUGCAUUUGGGAUCCUUGGGAAUGAAAAGAGCUAUAUACAUGAAGGUUUUUGUUAUCAACUGCUUAGGAUGUAAAUGUAAUUGGAAGGAAGUAGAGAAACUCUAAUAUUAAAGAGGCAAUGUGCAUAUGUAUACCUUGGGCAUGGAGAAGCACCCCUUAAAAAGUUUGCAUAAAUAUCCAGUAUAUUGUAUACUCACUCACACAUUCAUUCUUAUAGUUUAUAAAUGGAAAAUUCAUUUGGAUUUAAAAAACACACCCAGGAGAGCAGUGAAAGGUUAAAAAUUGAUUGGGAAUAAUUAAUUACUUCCUGGUUUUCUUUUAGUUAAAACUGAAAAAAUAAAGGAAAAUUUAAAAUGUAAAUAUAUUCUUAAAAUACUUUACAAUUGUUUGUGUAAUUGUUAAACGAUUGAUAUACUUAUUUUGGGGGGGUAACAAACCAUUGGAUAUAACUGAAAAUAGUUUGUGGGGUUAUCCUCAUUUUUAUUAUUCUUUAUGUUAGAUUUCCAUAAACCACAAGAUAUAGCCUUAUAUUUGUUUUCUUGCCAUAAAAAUUUUGCAUUGAACUCUGAAAAGCCCCUAAUAGUUAAGAAUACUGUACUCCAUACAUAUUGACAUCUAUGGCUAAUAUUAUAAUGCAUAAAGAUGUCUUGUAAAUUAUAGUCAAACAUCUUUCUCAUUCACAAGGAUGAAUUAGAUCCAGUACAUAAUGCCGAAGUCUUGAAAUGGAUGGAUUUAAUGAUGAUCAAAUACUGUGUGGAAUUUUGUACAAAAUCCCCAUUUCCCAGAAAUUAAGGGAUUUCUUCAGAUCAUGUGAUCUAGAUUAACCAUUCUGCUUAAUCCAGUCAUAAUACUCCACUGCUUUAUUGCCUUUAUAACAUGUUGACUU